UGCUUGUGUAGGAUAGGUGGGAGGCUUUGAAGCGUGGACGCCAGUUCGCGUGGAGCCAACCUUGAAAUACCACCCUGGUAAUUUCGGAGUUCUAACCUCGAUCGGUAUAUCCCGGUCAGGGACAAUGUAUGGUGGGUAGUUUGACUGGGGCGGUCUCCUCCCAAAGAGUAACGGAGGAGUGCGAAGGUAACCUCAGCGCGGUCGGAAAUCGCGCAGUGAGUGCAUAGGCAUAAGGUUGCUUGACUGCAAGACAAACAAGUCGAGCAGGUACGAAAGUAGGUCUAAGUGAUCCGGUGGUUCUGUAUGGAAGGGCCAUCGCUCAACGGAUAAAAGCUACCCUGGGGAUAACAGGCUUAUC
rnacentral:rRNA from 1 species